UGUCACACGUUUAGUAACAGAGGGUUUGAUUUCCGCUCAGAUUGAACGCCAAGUGGUUUUACACAUGCGGUCGAACGGCGGACUUCGGUCUGCGGCGAGUGGCGAACGGGCAGUGAUAAUGUAUCGGAACGCCUAGUAGUGGUAACUACGCGAAAGUUAAAGGUAGCUAAUACCGCAUACGCCCUUCGGGGAAAGCGGGGACCUUCGGGCCUCGCACUAUUAGGAGCGGCCGAUAUCGGAUUAGCUAGUUGCGGGGUAACGGCUCACUACACGAUCCGUAGCUGGUUUGAGGACGACCAGCCACACCGGGACGAGACACGGCCCAGACUCCUACGGGAGGUGCAGUGGGAAUUUGGACAAAUGGGGGAAACCCCUGAUCCAGCCAUCCCGCGUGUGCGAUGAAGGCCUUCGGGUUGUAAAGCACUUUUUGGCAGGAAAGAAACGGCACGGGAAUACCCCGUGCAACUGACGGUACCUGCAGAAUAAGCACCGGUUAACUACGUGCCAGCAGCCGCGGUAAUACUGUAGGUAAGCGUUAAUCGAAUUACUGGGCGUAAAGCGUGUGCAGGCGGUUCAAGAAAGAUGUGAAAUCCCAGAGCUUAACUUUGGGAACUGCAUUUUUAACUACCAGAGCGUGUGUCAGAGGGAGGUGGAAUUCCGCGUGUAGCAGUGAAAUGCGUAGAUAUGCGGAGGAACACCGAUGGCGAAGGCAGCCUCCUGGGAUAACACUGACGCUCAUGCACGAAAGCGGACAAACAGAAUAGAUACCUGGUAGUCCACGCCUCUAAACGAUGUCAACUAGCUGUUGGGGCCUUCGGGCCUUGGUAGCGCAGCUAACGCGUUGACCGCCUGGGAGUACGGUCGCAAGAUUAAAACUCAAAGGAAUUGACGGGGACCCGCACAAGCGGUGGAUGAUGUGGAUUAAUUCGAUGCAACGCGAAAAACCUUACCUACCCUUGACAUGCUGGGAAUCCCGAAGAGAUUUGGAAUGCUUCCGCAAAAGAGAACCGGAACACAGGUGCUGCAUGGCUGUCGUCAGGCCCGUGUCGUGGAGAUGGGUUAAGUCCCGCAACGAGCGCAACCCUUGUCAUUAUUGCUACGAAAGGGCACUCUGAGACUGCUGCAUAAACGCAGGAAGGGGAUGAGGUCAAGUCCUCAUGGCCCUUAUGGGUAGGGCUUCACACGUCAUACAAUGGUCGGGACAGAGGGUCGCCAACCCGCGAGGGGGAGCCAAUCCCAGAAACCUGAUCGUAGUCCGGAUCGCAGUCUGCAACUCGACUGCAGUGAAGUCGGAAUCGCUAGUAAUCGCGGAUUCAGCAUGUCGCGGUGAAUAGUUCCCGGGUCUUGUACACCCGCCCGUCACAACAAGUGGAGUGGUUUUACCAGAAGUAGUUAGCCUAACCGUAAGGAGGGCGAUUACCACGGUAGGAUUCAUGAUCAGUGAAGUCGUAACAAGGUAAC
rnacentral:rRNA from 1 species